GGUUAAGCGACUAAGCGUACACGGUGGAUGCCCUGGCAGUCAGAGGCGAUGAAGGACGUGCUAAUCUGCGAUAAGCGUCGGUAAGGUGAUAUGAACCGUUAUAACCGGCGAUUUCCGAAUGGGGAAACCCAGUGUGAUUCGUCACACUAUCAUUAACUGAAUCCAUAGGUUAAUGAGGCGAACCGGGGGAACUGAAACAUCUAAGUACCCCGAGGAAAAGAAAUCAACCGAGAUUCCCCCAGUAGCGGCGAGCGAACGGGGAGCAGCCCAGAGCCUGAAUCAGUGUGUGUGUUAGUGGAAGCGUCUGGAAAGGCGUGCGAUACAGGGUGACAGCCCCGUACACAAAAAUGCACAUAUUGUGAGCUCGAUGAGUAGGGCGGGACACGUGGUAUCCUGUCUGAAUAUGGGGGGACCAUCCUCCAAGGCUAAAUACUCCUGACUGACCGAUAGUGAACCAGUACCGUGAGGGAAAGGCGAAAAGAACCCCGGCGAGGGGAGUGAAAAAGAACCUGAAACCGUGUACGUACAAGCAGUGGGAGCACAGAGCAAUCUGUGUGACUGCGUACCUUUUGUAUAAUGGGUCAGCGACUUAUAUUCUGUAGCAAGGUUAACCGAAUAGGGGAGCCGAAGGGAAACCGAGUCUUAACUGGGCGUUAAGUUGCAGGGUAUAGACCCGAAACCCGGUGAUCUAGCCAUGGGCAGGUUGAAGGUUGGGUAACACUAACUGGAGGACCGAACCGACUAAUGUUGAAAAAUUAGCGGAUGACUUGUGGCUGGGGGUGAAAGGCCAAUCAAACCGGGAGAUAGCUGGUUCUCCCCGAAAGCUAUUUAGGUAGCGCCUCGUGAAUUCAUCUCCGGGGGUAGAGCACUGUUUCGGCAAGGGGGUCAUCCCGACUUACCAACCCGAUGCAAACUGCGAAUACCGGAGAAUGUUAUCACGGGAGACACACGGCGGGUGCUAACGUCCGUCGUGAAGAGGGAAACAACCCAGACCGCCAGCUAAGGUCCCAAAGUCAUGGUUAAGUGGGAAACGAUGUGGGAAGGCCCAGACAGCCAGGAUGUUGGCUUAGAAGCAGCCAUCAUUUAAAGAAAGCGUAAUAGCUCACUGGUCGAGUCGGCCUGCGCGGAAGAUGUAACGGGGCUAAACCAUGCACCGAAGCUGCGGCAGCGACGCUUAUGCGUUGUUGGGUAGGGGAGCGUUCUGUAAGCCUGCGAAGGUGUGCUGUGAGGCAUGCUGGAGGUAUCAGAAGUGCGAAUGCUGACAUAAGUAACGAUAAAGCGGGUGAAAAGCCCGCUCGCCGGAAGACCAAGGGUUCCUGUCCAACGUUAAUCGGGGCAGGGUGAGUCGACCCCUAAGGCGAGGCCGAAAGGCGUAGUCGAUGGGAAACAGGUUAAUAUUCCUGUACUUGGUGUUACUGCGAAGGGGGGACGGAGAAGGCUAUGUUGGCCGGGCGACGGUUGUCCCGGUUUAAGCGUGUAGGCUGGUUUUCCAGGCAAAUCCGGAAAAUCAAGGCUGAGGCGUGAUGACGAGGCACUACGGUGCUGAAGCAACAAAUGCCCUGCUUCCAGGAAAAGCCUCUAAGCAUCAGGUAACAUCAAAUCGUACCCCAAACCGACACAGGUGGUCAGGUAGAGAAUACCAAGGCGCUUGAGAGAACUCGGGUGAAGGAACUAGGCAAAAUGGUGCCGUAACUUCGGGAGAAGGCACGCUGAUAUGUAGGUGAAGUCCCUCGCGGAUGGAGCUGAAAUCAGUCGAAGAUACCAGCUGGCUGCAACUGUUUAUUAAAAACACAGCACUGUGCAAACACGAAAGUGGACGUAUACGGUGUGACGCCUGCCCGGUGCCGGAAGGUUAAUUGAUGGGGUUAGCGCAAGCGAAGCUCUUGAUCGAAGCCCCGGUAAACGGCGGCCGUAACUAUAACGGUCCUAAGGUAGCGAAAUUCCUUGUCGGGUAAGUUCCGACCUGCACGAAUGGCGUAAUGAUGGCCAGGCUGUCUCCACCCGAGACUCAGUGAAAUUGAACUCGCUGUGAAGAUGCAGUGUACCCGCGGCAAGACGGAAAGACCCCGUGAACCUUUACUAUAGCUUGACACUGAACAUUGAGCCUUGAUGUGUAGGAUAGGUGGGAGGCUUUGAAGUGUGGACGCCAGUCUGCAUGGAGCCGACCUUGAAAUACCACCCUUUAAUGUUUGAUGUUCUAACGUUGACCCGUAAUCCGGGUUGCGGACAGUGUCUGGUGGGUAGUUUGACUGGGGCGGUCUCCUCCUAAAGAGUAACGGAGGAGCACGAAGGUUGGCUAAUCCUGGUCGGACAUCAGGAGGUUAGUGCAAUGGCAUAAGCCAGCUUGACUGCGAGCGUGACGGCGCGAGCAGGUGCGAAAGCAGGUCAUAGUGAUCCGGUGGUUCUGAAUGGAAGGGCCAUCGCUCAACGGAUAAAAGGUACUCCGGGGAUAACAGGCUGAUACCGCCCAAGAGUUCAUAUCGACGGCGGUGUUUGGCACCUCGAUGUCGGCUCAUCACAUCCUGGGGCUGAAGUAGGUCCCAAGGGUAUGGCUGUUCGCCAUUUAAAGUGGUACGCGAGCUGGGUUUAGAACGUCGUGAGACAGUUCGGUCCCUAUCUGCCGUGGGCGCUGGAGAAUUGAGGGGGGCUGCUCCUAGUACGAGAGGACCGGAGUGGACGCAUCACUGGUGUUCGGGUUGUCAUGCCAAUGGCACUGCCCGGUAGCUAAAUGCGGAAGAGAUAAGUGCUGAAAGCAUCUAAGCACGAAACUUGCCCCGAGAUGAGUUCUCCCUGACUCCUUGAGAGUCCUGAAGGAACGUUGAAGACGACGACGUUGAUAGGCCGGGUGUGUAAGCGCAGCGAUGCGUUGAGCUAACCGGUACUAAUGAACCGUGAGGCUUAACCUU
rnacentral:rRNA from 1 species